ACGCUGGCGGCGUGCCUAAUACAUGCAAGUCGAACGCUUCUUUUUCCACCGGAGCUUGCUCCACCGGAAAAAGAGGAGUGGCGAACGGGUGAGUAACACGUGGGUAACCUGCCCAUCAGAAGGGGAUAACACUUGGAAACAGGUGCUAAUACCGUAUAACAAUCGAAACCGCAUGGUUUUGAUUUGAAAGGCGCUUUCGGGUGUCGCUGAUGGAUGGACCCGCGGUGCAUUAGCUAGUUGGUGAGGUAACGGCUCACCAAGGCCACGAUGCAUAGCCGACCUGAGAGGGUGAUCGGCCACAUUGGGACUGAGACACGGCCCAAACUCCUACGGGAGGCAGCAGUAGGGAAUCUUCGGCAAUGGACGAAAGUCUGACCGAGCAACGCCGCGUGAGUGAAGAAGGUUUUCGGAUCGUAAAACUCUGUUGUUAGAGAAGAACAAGGAUGAGAGUAACUGUUCAUCCCUUGACGGUAUCUAACCAGAAAGCCACGGCUAACUACGUGCCAGCAGCCGCGGUAAUACGUAGGUGGCAAGCGUUGUCCGGAUUUAUUGGGCGUAAAGCGAGCGCAGGCGGUUUCUUAAAGUCUGAUGUGAAAGCCCCCGGCUC
rnacentral:rRNA from 1 species